GACGAACGCUGGCGGCGUGCCUAAUACAUGCAAGUUGAGCGCUGAAGGUUGGUACUUGUACCAACUGGAUGAGCAGCGAACGGGUGAGUAACGCGUGGGGAAUCUGCCUUUGAGCGGGGGACAACAUUUGGAAACGAAUGCUAAUACCGCAUAAAAACUUUAAACACAAGUUUUAAGUUUGAAAGAUGCAAUUGCAUCACUCAAAGAUGAUCCCGCGUUGUAUUAGCUAGUUGGUGAGGUAAAGGCUCACCAAGGCGAUGAUACAUAGCCGACCUGAGAGGGUGGUCGGCCAAAUUGGGACUGAGACACGGCCCAAACUCCUACGGGAGGCAGCAGUAGGGAAUCUUCGGCAAUGGACGAAAGUCUGACCGAGCAACGCCGCGGGAGUGAAGAAGGUUUUCGGAUCGUAAAACUCGGUUGGUAGAGAAGAACGUUGGUGAGAGUGGAAAGCUCAUCAAGUGACGGUAACUACACAGAAAGGGACGGCUAACUACGUG
rnacentral:rRNA from 1 species